ensembl:rRNA 5S_rRNA 5S ribosomal RNA
GCUUACGGCCACACCACCUGGUUCACGCCCGAUCUCGUUUGAUCUCGGAAGCUAAGAUAGGUCGGGGCCUGGUUAGUACUUGGAUGGGGAGACCGCCUGGGAAUACCAGGUGCUGUAAGCU